CUCACUCACUCACUCACUCACUCACUCACAUAUAUAUAGUUACAGCAGGCCAAGGUAGGAGAGUCAGACACACACAAAUGCAACAUCACUCACACUUACUUCCGUAAAAGUUAUUUCAUGUGAUGUUGUGGCCAUCGAGUCCCUGUGUCUUGUCGAGGACAACCCGCAUCCCUUGGUUUUUCUCAGGGGCUCCUUCAUCUGGCUUCCCCGUAUACACUUGCAAGUUCCGAGCCCAGGGUUGUAAAACAGGGGAGGCUGUUCCACCGACUUGUCCCACACUGACCUGAUUGCAGCUAGCUUGUCUCUCUGCCGCCGAGCGGGUCUGGUGUCUCGGUUAUCGAUGCAGAUAAUCCUGGAAAUAAUGUGGAAGUUUUCCAGAGACAUUAUUGCACUGAAAGGUUCUCUGCCAGUUUCUGCAUCCCACAGGGAAUCUGUGGAUUCCCCAUUGGAUCUGAACACACCAGCAAGGAUAAGAAUCCCAAAGUAUGCAUUUAAAUGAGUUUGGUCAAUCUCCUUCCAUCUCUCUCCAAAAACACGCCUUCCCUCCAAAUUAGUGCAGUCCAGAAUGAUUUUCUGGAUGGUGUCUGGGAUGAACAGUUCAAAAUUAGACUUUAUGUCCUGCACAUGAGUAACCACCAUCAGCGUUGGCCCUGGUAUCCUUCUUAUCACAUUGGCAGCCAUGCCGGGUGGCUCAUUCCAUGGGCCAGAAGACUAUUCAAUUUCACAAUUUUUGGACAUCCAUAUUUCUCCUCGUGCAGGCUGCUGAUGAGCUGGUUGCUGAUGGGCUGGUCCUGGGGCUGGCUAAGGGUCAAUCUUAUCCUCCUGAUCCUCAUAUUUGGGAAAAUUCUUCAUCUUCCAAAGUGGAAGAUGCUCCUUCCACACUAGCUUCUCUCUCUUUCUAAGGCCCUCUGAGCAGAGAUUAUUUUUGCCAAAUUGAUUGAUUGUGGUAAGGAGCCACACAUUUUGCACCUGGCUGGGGUAGAGUGUGGGAAAAUACUGAAUUUUUUACAAUGUAUCGAAAUAAAGUAUCGAAAUAACAUUGUGCAGGUUCGCGCAAGAUAUUGUGUAGUUUCACACACUACAAAGGGUAAAGAGUGUGAGAAAAGCAGGAGACAGACAGGUUAUUGGUGCUAUGUUGAAACAGAAGGCCCAGGGAGGAGGAAGACAGAGUGAAGACACACAGCAAACCUUUUUGUUUCAUUUUGACUUGUUUUCAGCUAUACACACACUUUUCCACACUUUUAUUACCCUUGGGUCCAGUGGACCCGAACACCACAUAUGUAAUAAAAACGUGUAGGAAGGUGCACAGUGUGCACUCAAUGAAAAUGUGUUAUAUUACAUGUUCUUCACAGAAAAUGAGUCAAGGCCAAUGAGUCUCAAGUUGAAAAAAGUAUUAAUUGUAUAAUUUUUUCUGUUAGUCAACAUGAAAAUGGGUCCCUCAGAUCCAAAAACCACACAAGGGUUAAGUGCAUUUAUUUUUGAUACUUAAGUGUUUUAAAACCAAAUACUCCUAGACUCUUUUAAUCAAGUAGAAUUUUACUGGGUGACUUUCACUUGAGUCAUUUUCCAUUAAGGUAUCUUUACUUUUUCUCAAGUAUGACAAUUGGGUACUUUUUCCACCACUGCAGUACAUUAAUACAGUUCACACUCAAAAACAUUAGCCUACUGGAGCUAGUUUCUUGUAUUUACCCAAGUGAGCAUGUAGCUAGCUACACCUAUGGGCUUUUAUAUUGUUCUGUUCUGUUGUGUGUAAUGUGCAGUAGCCUAGAUCAUAUAUAGAUCAUGUAUUGGAUAACGCCACAAUCAUUUGGGCUCUUUUGGGCUUGGGCUCAUUAAAUGUCUUUAUUGUAGGGCUCAUAAAAUGUAUUUCAUGUAUGGCUCAUCAGCCUCAGGUAGCAUCAGGCUUGAAUUUUCGAUCAAAGCUCUAAUCAAAUCCAGACACAGGCCUAUUUAUAUGCAUUAUAAUUCUUUUGAAUGACCCUUCCGGUUUUGGUGGGAAAUACCGGGUUGUCCGGAAGAAAAUUAAUUUAUUCUCUGGGUGGAACAUUUGUAAAAUGUUUAACCCUAGCGCUGAUGCCAAUGAAAGUGUAUGUUAUAAAAUGGGUAAUUUGGAUAUUGGAUGCUGAUUGGUUGAUAUGCGUUAUUCACGAUUAUUAAUUUGAAUUAUUAAACAUUUUAAUUAUCACUGUGCAUCCACUGUCCCACAGCCCAGCCAGGCAAUUCAUAAACUUAUCUCCACUAAAAAACAUUUCCUAUUACUUCUAGCCUUUCAUUUGAUUUUCACAAGCGGGGGUUUGUAUAAGCCUUGCUGUCUGCCUCUCCAAUCUGUGCAACAAUGUUGCAAUAGAAAUCAAAUCAACAUUUAUUGCCAUAGUUGAAGUUGUUUGUAGAGCCGUCAACAUGAGGGGUGUUGUACAAAACAAUAUCAUCACUGAUUGGAUCAUCUCUAACCAAUCAGAGUAUCAAAACGCUGCUUUACCCAAGUGUUCUGGCUCUGGCCCAACCCAUCAGUUUCUGGGACAAAUCAGAACGGUUAGAAUGCGUUUGCGUUCUAGAAAUCGUCAAGGAGGUACUCAGAUCCAGCCUCAUUGCAGAGAAGAAACAUAUUGUCCGUUGGUGUGGCAUAGCGUUUGGCUAUGAGUUUGAUUAGCAAGCCAACCUUAGCAGUGGUUUAUUCACAAUAAUCCAAUGGUUCUCAUGCCUUAUUGCUUAAAUAACCUUCUCUGUCAGUUUGUAUACUUCUGUUUGUGAAGUAAGGGAAUACAUUUUAAGUUCUGAUAAUUGAUGACUGUGUUGAGAAACUUUUACUAGCAUUAGGCUUAGACACUUAAAUAGAAACUGCAAUUCGAUUUUCAGUAUGUUACCUAAAUUCUGAAAUAUUUCAAUAUUGCUUGUGUUUCACCAUCAGAUUAUGCUUUAUUUCUGAGAAAUGGGAUCAUUCAACACAAUGUAUUAGAUAAUGGUAAACCACAGGAUCAUGUAUGUAUUAGAUAAUGGUAAGUCCCAAGGUCAUGUAUGUAUUAGUAUUAUAUAAUGGUAAGCCCCAGGAUCAUAUAUGUACUACUUUAAUUCUGUAUAAAAUCAUAGUAAUAAUAAUAAAAAAUGAUUGUUAAGAUUGACACGGACCUGUUAAAUAUUUGGACUCUUAUGUACAAUUGCAGUAAAUUGAAGUUGAGGGGUGGUCUGUUUAUAUUGGUCCAUUAUUCCUUGCUUUAUACAGGUAGACCCUCAUGUUUUAGGCCGAAUUUCGAUCUGAUCCGCACUAGAUCUGCGUUAUAGCUAGCUUGAGUCGACAUUUAAAGGUAAUACCUGAUUGAUCCGGCAUCUGCAGCAUUUACUGUGAGUGCAAUCUCUGCAAAAGCGGGAACAUUGUCUUUAAAAGCGGCAAUAUCUACAUGAGCAAUCAGAUUGAAUCCUGGUCUUAGUGUCUUAAUGCAGAAAGAACAUUAUAUUAAAGGAAUCAUCAAUACAAUUGGACUGAUUAAUGGUUUUGCCAUUUAUUGUGAUGAUUCUGAUCUGUUCGUUAUUGCUUUGAUGUCUUGUAUCCUAUGCAAAUGUCAUGAAGGUGUACGAUUACUUUAAUAAUACAAAAUAAUGGAAAUAUAGCAAGUACCCUUUUGGAGCAGACCUCACAAAACACGUAUUAUGCAAAAACUUAAGAAGCUUCUUAAAGGAAAGGUUAACUCAUUUUGAAUGUUUUCUCGUGUAUUUGAAUUGUUGGCGGUCAAGCACGCAGAAAUCCGGCAGGAUGUGAUCAAGUCGCU
rnacentral:lncRNA from 1 species